rnacentral:rRNA from 1 species
GAUGAACGCUGGCGGCGUGCCUAAUACAUGCAAGUCGAGCGAACGGACGAGAAGCUUGCUUCUCUGAUGUUAGCGGCGGACGGGAGAGUAACACGUGGAUAACCUACCUAUAAGACUGGGAUAACUUCGGGAAACCGGAGCUAAUACCGGAUAAUAUUUUGAACCGCAUGGUUCAAAAGUGAACGACGGUCUUGCUGUCACUUAUCGAUGGAUCCGCGCUGCAUUAGCUAGUUGGUAAGGUAAAGGCUUACCAAGGCAACUAUGCAUAGCCGACCGGAGAGGGUGAUAGCCCACACUGGAAGUGGGACACGGUCCAGACGCCUACGGGAGGCAGCAGUAUGGAAUCGUCCGCAAUGGGCGAAAGCCUGGCGGAGCGGCGCCGCGUGAGUGAUGGAGAUCUUCGGAUCGUAAAACUCUGUUAUUAGGGAAGAACAUAUGUGUAAGUUACUGUGCACAUCGUGACGGUACCUAAUCAGAAAGCCACGGCUAACUACGUG